rnacentral:pre_miRNA from 1 species
AAUAGAUGACACCGUUGACUUUUUCUCACAUGUUUGAUCAUUCGUCUUAUUCAAAAAAUUUACGUAAUUAUAAUUUAUUUUGUUAUGACUCAUAGUACUUUAAGUGUGAUUUAUAUCUUAUACAUUUGCAUAAAAUUUUUGAAUAAGACGAAUGGUCAAACAUGUGAGAAAAAGUCAACGGCGUCAUCUAUU